rnacentral:rRNA from 1 species
UACGUAGGGUGCGAGCGUUAAUCGGAAUUACUGGGCGUAAAGCGUGCGCAGGCGGUUUUGUAAGACAGGCGUGAAAUCCCCGGGCUCAACCUGGGAAUGGCGCUUGUGACUGCAAGCUGGAGUGCGGCAGAGGGGGAUGGAAUUCCGGCGUGUAGCAGUGAAAUGCGUAGAUAUGCGGAGGAACACCGAUGGCGAAGGCAAUCCCCUGGGCCUGCACUGACGCUCAUGCACGAAAGCGUGGGGAGCAAACAGG